UAUGUUGUGUUGUGUAUUAUGUAACGAUUGAAAUAGGUUCCACUCAACUUGAAACCAACCUUUCUCUUCUUUUUUAUUGAUACAAACAUGGCGUCAAUUUCAACAUAUUCUGUAUCUUCUUACAUAAUAUCAUUAUGGUUGUCAUCAUCUUCCGUCGGCGUCGUCGUAGUCAUCGUCAUCGUCGUCGUCGUCGUCGACGUCGUCCUCAUCACCAUCAUCAUCAUCAUCGUCAUCAUCAUGAAAAAUUCUUGCCGUCAUUCCGUCGUCGUUGCCAAAAUCUUCCUUAUUGCUAAACAACCAUUAUGACAUCAUGAUCUCUUAUGUUAAAAUACUUUAUGAUUAUGGAUAUAUUUGAAAUUAUGCCGUGACACACAGACACGCGUGAAGAUAGAUAUUCACAUCCAUCCAUACAUGAUAUGAUGUCAUAAAUCGCCUUAUAAGGAUACUAGCUGUAACUACGACAUAUAUUACAAAACAACUCAGUCAAUGGCAUCACUGUAACGGCCAACAUUAUCAAAAAUUUCAGAUCCCUCUGCACCAUUAAUAAUCGUUAAUAACAUAACUACACUCUUCACCAAAAACGAUAUCAAUAACAGCGUCGCUACUUCUACAGACGCGAACACUGAACCACCACCAUCACUAUUAUCGUUAUUAUCAUAAUUAACAUCUAAAUCAGUCAAUAAACUCAAUGUUUAUCUGUAAUGAAGGAUUUCAAUUGAAGCAAAUCACACAAUAAUACAGACAUGUAUACAUAUGUGUUCUUCGUUGCGCAGAAAACGCAAACACAUAUAACUACAUAGACAAAUACACAAAGACUCUAAGGCAAUCGCAAUGCAGAAACGUACACCCAUCCACACUCAUGCACACACUUAAACAGAGAUGAACACUGGGAAAGCAACAAGGACGCAUAGUUUUAACACAUAUUUGAAUAACAGUUAAAGGGUUGAAUUGCGAACUAAUAGAGAUGUGAUGUAUAGAAAAAUAUUAAAAGUUGUAUGCACUGCGGUUGGUGUACUUUUAAGAAGUGUAGUUCAGGAAUGUUGUAAAUAUAGAGAGGUGAUGGCUAAGGAUAUAUUUCUUCUUGUUGCCAUUGUUGUUAUUGUUGUCGCGAUUCU
rnacentral:lncRNA from 1 species